CGUCGCGAAAGCGUUGAAAAUAAAGUUCUCAAUGCUGUUUAGUGAGUUUGUUGAUUGUUGCUUGCAAAAGAACCUAAGAAUCGACCAUCGGCCCGUAUGUUGCUCAAUCAUGCAUUCUUCAAACAAGCUAAAAGAAAAUCAAACGAAGUUUACCUGAACUGUUACUUCCUGUGCGUCCUCAAACUUUUGACAAUGUUGCUAUUUCCAAUGAAGAGAUAAAACUGCAAACGUUUGCUCUGUGACCGAAAGUUUGGAUAAACUCGAUGUCAGUUCUUGGAACUUUUAAACUUUUAUUUUCGUUACAAGUUUAUAAAGAGAAGAGCGUGUUGUAAUUAAAUAAAUCACUUAGUGAUUUGAAAUAAACGAAAUUUGGGUGACGUGUCCUGUAAA